ensembl:lncRNA
AGAGAGAGGGACAACAAACAGAUCCAGAUAGAGAGGGACAACAAACAGAUCCAGAGAGGGAGGGACAACAAACAGAUCCAGAGAGAGAGAGAGAGGGACAACAAACAGAUCCAGAGAGAGAGGCAGGGACAACAAACAGAUCCAGAGAGAGAGAGGGACAACAAACAGAUCCAGAGAGGGAGGGACAACAAACAGAUCCAGAGAGAGAGAGAGGGACAACAAACAGAUCCAGAGAGAGAGAGAGAGGGACAACAAACAGAUCCAGAGAGAGAGAGAGAGAGAGGGACAACAAACAGAUCCAGAGAGAGAGGCAGGGACAACAAACAGAUCCAGAGAGAGAGGGACAACAAACAGAUCCAGAGAGGGAGGGACAACAAACAGAUCCAGAGAGAGAGAGAGGGACAACAAACAGAUCCAGAGAGAGAGAGAGGGACAACAAACAGAUCCAGAGAGAGAGGCAGGGACAACAAACAGAUCCAGAGAGAGAGAGGGACAACAAACUGAACCAGAGAGAGAGG